GUCCUCGCUUCCGCAGCACGUGUACUAAAACUGGAACGACAUGGAGAAGAUUAGCAUGGCCCUUGCACAAGGGUGACAUGCACAUUUGCAAAGCAUCCCAGCGAGUG
rnacentral:snRNA from 1 species